UUUAUUUGUAUUUUUCACUAAUCCGUAAUACAAAUAGAUUGUUUGAUGAUAUUUUUCACCAAUCCAUAAUAUGUUUGAUAUUUUUCACCAAUCCGUGAAAUCUAAGCUUUGAACUAAAAGAGGAUUGAAAGCAAGCAGAGUAUCGGUGUUUAUUGUCUCCCCGCUGGUCGGUCUAAGAAUCGCGCCGCUCAUUGUCUGGUAUUUUUCGGCAUUUUAUGUUGCUAGUAUUUUGCUCUUUUCCUAUUUUUCACUACUUUCUAAUUCUUUAUAUUUGCUUUCUGAUUUUAAUUCUUCUUUUAAUGCAUGUGGUCUCUAAAUUUCUUUCCUUUGGAAACCCUUUAUGGUGAUAUGUGAAAAAAAUAGAACAAAACGGGGUGGUUAACUUCUAAGCGGAAGUGAAAAUUGUCUCUAAGAGUAAAAGAUAAAACUUUGCAUGAUAUGAAGUAUUGAGAUAGCUAAAUGUAAAUUAGUUUGGUAAAACGUGUUCCUUAUUACUUGUCUUUUAUAGUUGAUAUGUGUGUUA
rnacentral:lncRNA from 1 species